rnacentral:tmRNA from 1 species
ACCCUUUUAACCGAAGGCUGAAAUCCCUAUAUUGGAGAUGCCGGGCAACCGGCUAUGGCGAUAAACGGCCUGUGUAAUAAGCGAUGCGGACCCGGGGGCAGUACCCGGCGCCUCCACCAACACCGCUGCCGCGGGAAACGAAAGCGGCAUCGGUUUUUAUGGGGGCGAAAUAGGAUCGACGCGCGUGUAAAGACUGGUUUUUCGCCCGGCAUGGUACCGCCGUUAUCGGGCCAAACCUACAGAUGCCAAUGAUAAUGACUUGGCUCUCGCUGCUUAACUAAGCAAGCGCGGCCCGGGGGGCGCCGGGCAACAGAAGCCCCCCACU